rnacentral:tRNA from 1 species
GGGGUUGUGGGCCAACUUGGUAAGCUUCAGCCUUCGGGAGGCUGUGAUCCCGGUUCAAAUCCGGGCAACCCCA